rnacentral:rRNA from 1 species
GUCGAACGAGGUUCAUUCUGUAGCAAUACAGAGGAAGACCUAGUGGCGAACGGGUGAGGAACACGUGAGGAACCUGCCCCAAACUUUGGGAUAACAGUUGGAAACGACUGCUAAUACCGAAUGCCGUUACGAAGUGGCAUCACUUUGUAACGAAAGAAUUUCGGUUCGGGAGGGCCUCGCGGCCUAUCAGCUAGUUGGUGGGGUAAUGGCCUACCAAGGCAUCGACGGGUAGCUGGUCUGAGAGGAUGAUCAGCCACACUGGGACUGAGACACGGCCCAGACUCCUACGGGAGGCAGCAGUGGGGAAUCUUGUGCAAUGGGCGAAAGCCUGACACAGCCACGCCGCGUGCGGGAAGAAGGCCUUCGGGUUGUAAACCGCUUUCAGCAGGAACGAAAAUGACGGUACCUGCAGAAGAAGAUGCGGCCAACUACGUGCCAGCAGCCGCGGUGAUACGUAGGCAUCAAGCGUUGUCCGGAUUUAUUGGGCGUAAAGAGCUCGUAGGCGGUUCAGCAAGUCGGGUGUGAAAACUCUGGGCUUAACCCAGAGCCUGCACUCGAAACUGCUGUGACUAGAGUUCGGUAGGGGAGCAGGGAAUUCCUAGUGUAGCGGUGAAAUGCGCAGAUAUUAGGAGGAACACCAAUGGCGAAGGCACUGCUCUGGGCCGAUACUGACGCUGAGGAGCGAGAGCGUGGGUAGCAAACAGGAUUAGAUACCCUGGUAGUCCACGCCGUAAACGAUGGGCACUAGGUGUGGGUCUCUAACCAACGAGAUCUGCGCCGUCGCUAACGC